rnacentral:rRNA from 1 species
AACGAACGCUGGCGGCAUGCCUAACACAUGCCAGUCGAACGAGACCUUCGGGUCUAGUGGCGCACGGGUGCGUAACGCGUGGGAACCUGCACUUAGGUUCGGAAUAACUCUCCGAAAGGGGUGCUAAUACCGGAUAAUGUCUUAGGACCAAAGAUUUAUGGCCUUUGGUUGGGCCCGCGUUGGAUUAGCUGGUUGUUAGGGUAAAAGCAUACCAAGGGGAGGAUCCAUAGCUGGUCUGAGAGGAAGAUCAGCCACACUGGGACGGAGACACGGCCCAGACUCCUACGGAAGGCAGCAGUGGGGAAUAUUGGAAAAUGGGCGAAAGCCUGAUCCAUCAAUGCCGCGUGAGUGAUGAAGGCCUUAGGGUUGUAAAGCUCUUUUACCCGGGAUGAUAAUGACAGUACCGGGAGAAUAAGCUCCGGCUAACUCCGUG